ACUACCAGUAUCUUACUUAGGCGACAAAGUUUACCCUUCCCUGGUGACCUAGCUCAGCUCCUACACCAACAAGGCGCCAACUGAGAAGAGAAGCUCUCCAACUCACCCCGCCUGGUGCCGAGCGCAUCUCGGACGUCUCCUGGUAGACCUUGGGGGCACCAUCACCCGUAUUGGAGUAGGAGAUGAC